AGAGUUUGAUCAUGGCUCAGAUUGAACGCUGGCGGCAGGCCUAACACAUGCAAGUCGAACGGUAACAGGAAGCAGCUUGCUGCUUUGCUGACGAGUGGCGGACGGGUGAGUAAUGUCUGGGAAACUGCCUGAUGGAGGGGGAUAACUACUGGAAACGGUAGCUAAUACCGCAUAACGUCGCAAGACCAAAGAGGGGGACCUUCGGGCCUCUUGCCAUCGGAUGUGCCCAGAUGGGAUUAGCUAGUAGGUGGGGUAAAGGCUCACCUAGGCGACGAUCCCUAGCUGGUCUGAGAGGAUGACCAGCCACACUGGAACUGAGACACGGUCCAGACUCCUACGGGAGGCAGCAGUGGGGAAUAUUGCACAAUGGGCGCAAGCCUGAUGCAGCCAUGCCGCGUGUAUGAAGAAGGCCUUCGGGUUGUAAAGUACUUUCAGCGGGGAGGAAGGGAGUAAAGUUAAUACCUUUGCUCAUUGACGUUACCCGCAGAAGAAGCACCGGCUAACUCCGUGCCAGCAGCCGCGGUAAUACGGAGGGUGCAAGCGUUAAUCGGAAUUACUGGGCGUAAAGCGCACGCAGGCGGUUUGUUAAGUCAGAUGUGAAAUCCCCGGGCUCAACCUGGGAACUGCAUCUGAUACUGGCAAGCUUGAGUCUCGUAGAGGGGGGUAGAAUUCCAGGUGUAGCGGUGAAAUGCGUAGAGAUCUGGAGGAAUACCGGUGGCGAAGGCGGCCCCCUGGACGAAGACUGACGCUCAGGUGCGAAAGCGUGGGGAGCAAACAGGAUUAGAUACCCUGGUAGUCCACGCCGUAAACGAUGUCGACUUGGAGGUUGUGCCCUUGAGGCGUGGCUUCCGGAGCUAACGCGUUAAGUCGACCGCCUGGGGAGUACGGCCGCAAGGUUAAAACUCAAAUGAAUUGACGGGGGCCCGCACAAGCGGUGGAGCAUGUGGUUUAAUUCGAUGCAACGCGAAGAACCUUACCUGGUCUUGACAUCCACGGAAGUUUUCAGAGAUGAGAAUGUGCCUUCGGGAACCGUGAGACAGGUGCUGCAUGGCUGUCGUCAGCUCGUGUUGUGAAAUGUUGGGUUAAGUCCCGCAACGAGCGCAACCCUUAUCCUUUGUUGCCAGCGGUCCGGCCGGGAACUCAAAGGAGACUGCCAGUGAUAACCUGGAGGAAGGUGGGGAUGACGUCAAGUCAUCAUGGCCCUUACGACCAGGGCUACACACGUGCUACAAUGGCGCAUACAAAGAGAAGCGAUCUCGCGAGAGCAAGCGGACCUCAUAAAGUGCGUCGUAGUCCGGAUUGGAGUCUGCAACUCGACUCCAUGAAGUCGGAAUCGCUAGUAAUCGUGGAUCAGAAUGCCACGGUGAAUACGUUCCCGGGCCUUGUACACACCGCCCGUCACACCAUGGGAGUGGGUUGCAAAAGAAGUAGGUAGCUUAACCUUCGGGAGGGCGCUUACCACUUUGUGAUUCAUGACUGGGGUGAAGUCGUAACAAGGUAACCGUAGGGGAACCUGCGGUUGGAUCACCU
rnacentral:rRNA from 2 species